rnacentral:rRNA from 1 species
UACAGAGGUCCCGAGCGUUGUUCGGAUUCACUGGGCGUAAAGGGUGCGUAGGCGGUCGGGUAAGUCUGAUGUGAAAUCUCACAGCUUAACUGUGAAACUGCAUUGGAUACUAUCCGGCUCGAGGAAUGGAGGGGAGACUGGAAUACUUGGUGUAGCAGAGAAAUGCGUAGAUAUCAAGUGGAACACCGGUGGCGAAGGCGGUUCUCUGGGCCUGUUCUGACGCUGAGGAGCGAAAGCGUGGGGAGCGAACAGG